GAGUUACUGCAAUGCACACUAUAAUAAAGCUGUGGAAAGUUUUGUAUUCUAUCGAACAAUAAUUUUUCCACAGCUCUGUAACACAUAAUCUCUGAAAGUGUGGAGAUUUAAGACAGUUUGAAAGAAAUAAACUCUCCUACUUAAUUUGUUCUAUUUUAUCUUGAAAAGAAAUCUUUCCAAAGAGAAGGCGGAUGUACUUUGGGAAAACAUCCGUUUUAUCGACACACAACUUUUUAGAGAACAACUUAUAUAGCAGCAUGCAACAAACACAUUUAUUCACACAUACACGCACACACGCGCACGUUCGAAUUUGCAUGCUCCAGUUUCUUCGUGUGUUAUUUCGAUCUUCAUUCGGGUGUUUAGUCAUUAAGAGGAAGAUACGAGAGAGAUCGCGAACAUUUACAAGAGCCGCGUAUGUUUUUCUAUAUUACGCUGGCCGCAAAAUAGGUCGCUUAGGUCAGUCGAAACGCUCCGCACACGUUUGUCUACUUCCUAAUCGAUAAGAGAGAGAGAGAUGCUUAAGGAAUUUAGAUAGAAAACGGAAAUGUGAUUCGAUCUAAUUCAGUGAGCGAAAAGAUUAUAUGUAUCGAGGUGGAAGGUUGCGUUUGAGCUUUCCGGAAGAACCCGAUCGACAUGAGGUUCGUUGGAAUUUGGCGCAGAACUGAAACCGCAGCGAGAUGAAACGCUGAAGUCGAUCGCGUUCGCUCCGGCGUUCUCGACCAACAUUCUCGAUGUUGCGAUGAUAAUAUGUACUUUCGACAAAGCGUGAUAAGAAUCGUUAUUAUAUUCAUAAUAUGAAAAAGGAUAAAAGAAAUUGAGAAAUAAACGAAGCUUUUAAUAUCCA